rnacentral:lncRNA from 1 species
UAUUUUUAUUUGUCUUUCUUUUUCAAACACCAACUUGAACCAGAAGGAAGAGUUUAAGAAAGUGAAUGGAGAGGCCAGGCGCAGUGGCUCAUGCCUGUAAUCCCAGCACUUUGGGAGGCUGAGGUGGGCGGAUCGCUUGAGGUCACGAGUUCGAGACCAGCCUGGCCAACAUGGUGAAAUCUGUCUUUACUAAAAAUACAAAAAUUAGCUGGGCAUGAUGGCGUGUGCCUGUAAUCCCAGCUACUUGGGAGGCUGAGGCUGGAGAAUUGGUUGAACCCAGGAGGUUCAAUUGUGCCACUGCACUCCAGCCUGGGCGAUAGAGCAAGACUCAGUCUCAAAAAAAAAAAAAAAAAAAAAAAAAAAAAAAAGAGGGUGAAUGGAGAGAGAGAUAUCAUUCUGGAAUGGUAAACAGGGGCCAGAUCACGAAUGACUUUGUAAGCCAUAAAGGCCUGAGAGAGGAAUGUGAAAGAGGAACUAAUAAUAACAUCAGGCACUGCAGGGCGCUUUGCCAAUCACUCUUUUUUUUUUUUUUUGAGUCAGGGUCUCCUUCUGUGGCCCAGUCUGGAAUGUUAGUGGUGCAAUCUCGACUCACUGCAACCUCCGCCUCCCGGAUUCAAGUGAUUCUCCUGCCUCAGCCUCCCAAGUAGCUGGGAUUACACGUACGCACCACCAUGCCCGGCAAAUUUUUGUAUUUUUAGUAGAGAUAGGGUUUCAACAUAUUGGCCAGGCUGGUCUCAAACUCGUGACCUCAAGUGAUCUGCCCGCCUCAGCCUCCCAAAAUGCUGGGAUUAUAGGCGUGAACCAUCACACCGGGCCAUUCCAAUCACUCUUCAUUUCCUGCAUCUCAAAGCAACGCUGUCAAACAGUUGGAGUUGAUUUUCUAGGCCUUUCUGUUUUCCCCCUCCUGCUUGCCAUUGCAGGGCCUCCUCUGGUCACUCGUACCAGUGAGAGAUCAGGCUCCUUUAGGAAGUACUCACAGCGGAAAAUCAGCUUGAAACUGCCUUUGGAAAAGUAUGACUGAGACAGUGAAGGAGAUCAAACUUAACUGACUCCCUCUUGCUCCUAACCUCCAGACUGUCCUUAUUCAUUCCUGGGUGUAGGCCGAACUAACUUUGGGAGAAACUUAGUUUAUAGUUUAAACAAAGACGGUAACAACCCUUUCUUAAAGCAGACCUCCUUCUUGCCUGGGGACUAGAUUGCCUUUGUAGGAUGAACAUUAACCACAAGAUUAGAAAUUAUGGUUUAGGAGUCAUGCAGCUGGAGCUACAAGAUUCCAACCCUCCCCUAAACUGCUCCUAAGAUCAGUGCUUCUUUCCCAAGCGGCUGCCGAAGAUGGCGGAGGUACAGGUCCUGGUGCUUGAUGGUCGAGGCCAUCUCCUGGGCCACCUGGCGGCCAUCGUGGCUAAACAGGUACUGCUGGGCCGGAAGGUGGUGGUUGUAUGCUGUGAAGGCAUCAACAUUUCUGGCAAUUUCUACAGAAACAAGUUGAAGUACCUGGCUUUCCUCCGCAAGCGGAUGAACAGCAACCCUUCCCGAGGCCCCUACCCCCUCCAGGCCCCCAGCCGCAUCUUCUGGCAGACCAUGCGAGGUAUGCCGCCCCACAAGACCAAGCCAGGCCAGGCCGCUCUGGACUGCCUCAAGGUGUUUGACGGCAUCCCACCGCCCUACGACAAGAAAAAGCGGAUGGUGGUUCCUGCUGCCCUCAAGGUUGUGCGUCUGAAGCCUGCAAGAAAGUUUGCCUAU